CAUAUAAAUGAGUGGAGACAUGGAACUCACCCUUACAAGGCCUAGAACCUGACAGAGCAUACAAGACUGAAGCCCAAAUAACCAAGAACAGGAAGCUGAAGUCCCCUUAUAGGUCACUAUGGGGAACUUCCUAGGCCCCAGGGCUGGCCUCAUUUAUGCCUGGUGCCGGGAGGCAGUGGCGUCAUGUUGUGGGACUCAGUCUGUGGCAGCUACACCACCAGAAUCCACGACUGCAGAGCCUGACUUUGUAUAUGCCGGAGUGGUGGAGGUCCAGCAUGUGCAGCCCAAGUCAAAGCGGCGCAAAGGUUUGGCUGGCCGCGUGAGGAGCUGGGUACAAAAACGGAGGCGUAAAAAAAUUUGCCCCACUGCAAAUGAAGCUCCUCUUCAAGACCAGAAGAAAACCUUAAGAGACGUGAAAACCUUAAAGAGACAUCACCUGACAUAGAGAAACAUGUCACCCAGUAUUGCCACCGUGCUGUUCAGGUCCCACAAGACCUCAGCCUGGAACACAUCAAGGAUGAUGAGCCACCCCGUGAUGUGAAGAAGCCCACCGUUUGGUGUUACCGCCGUCCCGUUGAAAUCCCGCAUGACCUCAUAUUAGAAGACAUCGAGGAUGAGGAGCUACCCCGUGACGAGGAGAAGCCCGCCGUUUCGUGUCACCGCCGUCCCGUUGAGGUCCUGCAGGACCUCAUAUUAGAAGACAUCGAGGAUGAGGAGCUACCCCGUGACGAGGAGAAGCCCGCCGUUUCGUGUCACCGCCGUCCCGUUGAGGUCCUGCAGGACCUCAUAUUAGAAGACAUCGAGGAUGAGGAGCUACCCCGUGACGAGGUAAGAUGCAUUUCUUUGUCUCAAAGAGAAAUUUUUCUUUCUGGGGCCUCUGGAAUAUCAAGUGAAUAUCCUUUUUGACUGCCAUUGUGAAUCGGACCUCAGGUGUCGUGGAGUCCGGCGACCAGUCAGUGGAGU